rnacentral:misc_RNA from 1 species
GGGCCUCAGACAGAAUACUAUGGUUUGUGCUAAAGACUCUUGAACUGCAAUUAUAGGUCUCAUUUCAGUUUUAGUAAUGGCAAGAUAGCUGGAAGUGUGGACCAAUUAUGGGCUUCAAUUAUUUCAUCUGUGGACUUGUUUAGUUUCUCACUCUUGAAAUUGAAGAACCUUGUUAAUUUGAAGCUUCAUGCUUCUUGCUUAGUUCUUUAUAGUGACCAUUCUGGGACUUCAAAUGUUUAGCACUGAUAAUGGUUUUCUGACAUAUUGACUGGGAAGGUAAGAGCAAAUUUUGCAUGAAAUCAAAAUGGUGAACAAAAUUUAAGGGGAGGGAAAAGCGAGUUCUAUGUUUUUUUGUGGAAUUAUUGCACAUAAUUGAAUUCUCAUUCAUGAUUAUGUUUGCUAUUACUUACAUAAAAAAAUAGUGAAUGAAUUGGCACAAUGGAUAUCUUAGCGUAAGCAUUGUUAAAAGAUGCUUUUUCUUUUCUUUUCUUUUCUUUUUCUUUAUGUUUUGCAACUAAAUUUUAUGUUUGGGAAUUUUCUUCCAAUUUUCUACAAUUUUGAAGAGUUUUCCUAUUGAAUUUGCCAUUUUUUUUUUGUUUUUUUUCCUUCUCUGUAAAUUAAUGGAGAUUAGCUGUUGGGAUUCUGAAUUUUUAUUUUCCUUUUUUAUAAACGAAUUCAAUGGUUGUUACAGUUUGGAUGAAUGUUGGAGAGCAAAUUUCGUUCUUUGAUAGCUAUAAAAAAUUAUAUUUGUAAGUUUUAAUUUAAUGAUAUUACAGUCGUUUGGAACAGGGAUUGCACAUCUGCUAUUACAAUUAGAACCAACUGGGCCUGACUUUCUCCGGCCCACGAACAUUAACAGUUUGAUUUCUAUUUCCAAGAAGCUUUGCUUGGUUCUCCACGCUGGAUAAGGCACGAAAUCACAGUCAGGCCAAUGCUCUAAACUUCUCCUGUAAGUACUGCUAUUUCGCGUCUCAGGAAUCUAAAGAGUUCUAAAGGUUGAAGAAAGAAAGAUAUAGAGAGUUCUGAAAUCUCCGCCACCACGAAAGCCGGAUAAGAAAUUUGGUAAAAAGAGGAAAGCUAGUAAACUAACCAUAGCGGAAAAGCAAGUUCACAUUGGCUCUCUCUUUCUUUAAUGGGGAAGAUUCUCCCUUCCGCUGGGAAACUCAAAGAACUCAACAAAAUAGUCUCUUCCCACAAGCCUCAACGCUCAAAAGCAGUGCCUAUCAUUCCCUUCAUGCCAAGACAGGUCCGUUUUGACUUCGAGCCACUCAAGUUGAGAAAGAUGGAGAAUAGCUUGCUCUCCCUUGAUGGCCAGAAUCGAGUGCCACUUUCUCAGGUUGUCUCUGAGUGCACGAAACGGUGGUUUCAAGACACACUCAAGGAGGCCAAAGCUGGUGAUAUUGCCAUGCAAGUUCUUGUGGGUCAGAUGUAUUAUAAUGGCUAUGGUGUUUCUAAAAACGUCCAAAAGGUUCAAUUUUUAAUCCUUUGUUGUUUCAUUUAUCUUUUUUUUUUUUUCUCAUUAAAAUGUUGGCUUUAGGAUUCUGGGUUUGGUCUGUUUUGUUGGGUUUUUCAUGUAUUUAUCAUUGCAUUGAGUUGGGUUACAAGACACGCAUGGCUUUUCCAUUUCAAGGUUUAUUAAGACAGCAAGAUUGGAGAUUUGGAAUGAUUAUGUUUUGUUUAUAGAGGAGAGAAAGCAAGGUUCAAUUUAAGCCAGAUAGUGUUUGGCUCUUAAGUUUUUUUGUUUUUUUGUUUUGGUUUCUAAUUCUGUGUAUGUAGCAUCUAGCAUGUUAGGUUUUGUAUUUCUACUUGGUUGCUGCCUAAAUUGGGAAGAAAAAGGAUUUAUUAGAUCUUUCAAUGGUUGCAUGGUCAAUAUUGCAUUUUCUUCCCUAGAUAAAUGAAGACUAAUGACUCAAGGUUGUUUAAUACUUGUAUUGAGGAUGGAAUUUCUGUUAAUUUAAUCGCACAUAAAAGAACUCUACAAUAACAAAAAUUUGGGUUUACUGGAAUUACAGAGAACUCACUGGAAUCCUAUUGAAUAUUAGGAUUUUCAUUGUUUCUGUUGGCAAUUAGAACAAAACUUACCCAUUUCCUUAUGUCGAUUAAUCUUCUAUUUCCUUGAUCUUAACAAAUAAAGGUGUGAGAAAUAUUACAGCUUUCUUAAUUGGUAUAUAUUAUAGAAGUUUUGUUAUAUUCCUAUCUUUUUCAAGACUAAAAGGAAGCAUUAGUUAAUAACUUAAUAUGUUUUCAUCUUGACAAAUCAGCAGUAUUUUAGUGGAUGAUAAAUUAGCAUUGUGUAUACUCAGGUUUAAUCAUCCUUAGCAUUGUACUACAUUAUAUUUUUGGGUAGUGAACUCUGUUCUUUUUCUUGUGUUUAAGGGCCAUGAUUGGAUUAAUAAAGCUUCCAAGAGUCGAGCUUCAGCGUGGAAAGUGAGUGAUAAACGUCCAGGUAUGUGCACUCUCCUUCUGUUGGUUAGAUCCUUGAUUAUUUUUCCAUUUUUUUAAAUUGAGUUUUAUGUUGUUUCCCUAGUUUAUAAUGCAAGUGACUCAGAUUC